GAGAAAUAACUCCCCAGUUCCUCCUCAACUCCCUCUCAUUCAUCUUCUUUCUUCGAUUAUGUUAAAAGAAAAGAAAACAAUCAACGUAAGUAAGAUGGGAAUCUUUCAAGUAAGAUGGGAUCUUUGCGGAGUUGGUUCUUAAUUUGAUUUUCUGCAUCUAGGGUUUAAAGCGGUACUGAUUCAUUUUGUAUGAAUUAACAUAAGUGUACAUCGGUCUUCAAUUUUCCUAUACUACUUAAUAGUUUUAUCCUUUAAUUCGAACUAUUUUCUGAUAUUGGAUCAGAUUUGGAUUAAGAAAAUCCACAAAUUAUUCCUUCAAUUGUUUACUUUGAAACCCUGAAUACCAUUAAAAUCAAAUCAAAACUGAACGAUAUAUUAUAUGUUUCCUCAACCUUGAUAAUGAAAAGAUAUUUUAACAAACACUAGGGAUUAAAAUCUCAUACGGAAUUUCGGAAUUGAUGGAGUUGAUUUUAGAAGAUAGAAGAUGAACAUCCUAAAGGUUGAUGGGAUGAAUUUUCUAAAAGGAUUACUGGGAAAGCGAAGAUGGUAUAAAGACAAAGGGUGCAUCUUUUGAAGCAGUACUCUCCACUAGACUCGGAAAACACUAAAUCAAUUCAAAUCAAUGUCGAAAGGAAACUCGUUGGUGAAAAUAUCAAGGUUUGGUUUCCUGAUUAUUAAGCACAAGAGUAAAUAGAUUGUGGUUAUGAGAUUGUGCGAAAUGUAAUAGUUAUAUUCGUGGAUAUAUAACCAUGCAUUCCGCACUUGAUACACUCCUCAUGUGUCACCUGAAUCAAAUCAACUUUCAUAGUUAAUAUUGGCAUGUGAAACUCUAGCUUCCCAGUACAUCCACCAGUUUCCCCUAUCUCAUCACUGGCGACGCUCUCCAUCUUUCGGAUCGAUUUGGCUACCUCAAAACUACAAGAUUCUCCAGUGCAGACGUCUGUAAUGCAAUCGUCUUCGUUUUGAUCACAUUAUAUAUUGGGUAAGAUGGUGUCUGAAGUUCUUACUGACUGCCGCUGGCACUGACUUUGUGAGAUUAUUUGUUGUCUUGCGGAUGUUUAUCUUGGCGGGCUGAAAUUGUGAAGUGAAGUUGUCAUCCACUUCUCACGCAUAUGCUACAUGAAGAUUUUAGAAUACCCCAUUUAAUUCUCUAUUAAAGGUUAAAGUGGGAUGCGAAGAUAUCUCAUAAGCUGUUAGAGUCCAGGAGAAACCAGUUCAUGUCGGUAAUGUUUUUUUUAUCUUGUUUCAAUAUCGUGAACUGAUAAUUGUAUUAUUUGACUCAAAAGCUCAGUUGUAAUUGAAUC